rnacentral:rRNA from 1 species
AUUGAACGCUGGCGGCAGGCCUAACACAUGCAAGUCGAGCGGAUGAGGGUAGCUUGCUACCUGAUUCAGCGGCGGACGGGUGAGUAAUGCCUAGGAAUCUGCCCGAUAGUGGGGGAUAACGUUCCGAAAGGAACGCUAAUACCGCAUACGUCCUACGGGAGAAAGCGGGGGAUCUUCGGACCUCGCGCUAUCGGAUGAGCCUAGGUCGGAUUAGCUAGUUGGUGGGGUAAAGGCUCACCAAGGCGACGAUCCGUAGCUGGUCUGAGAGGAUGAUCAGACACACUGGAACUGAGACACGGUCCAGACUCCUACGGGAGGCAGCAGUGGGGAAUAUUGGACAAUGGGCGAAAGCCUGAUCCAGCCAUGCCGCGUGUGUGAAGAAGGUCUUCGGAUUGUAAAGCACUUUAAGUUGGGAGGAAGGGUUGUAACCUAAUACGUUGCAACUUUGACGUUACCGACAGAAUAAGCACCGGCUAACUUCGUGCCAGCCGCCGCAGUAACAC